rnacentral:rRNA from 1 species
AACGAACGCUGGCGGCGUGGAUAAGACAUGCAAGUCGAACGGGAUUACUGGUGUAGCAAUACAUCAGUGGUCUAGUGGCGUAAGGGUGCGUAACACGUGGGCAAUCUGCCGAGAAGUGGGGGAUAGCUCGCCGAAAGGCGAAUUAAUACCGCAUGUGGUUAGUGUUGGAUUCAACAUGACACCAAAGCCGGGGCAACCUGGCGCUUCUUGAUGAGCCCGCGGCCUAUCAGCUAGUUGGUGAGGUAACGGCUCACCAAGGCUAUGACGGGUAGCUGGUCUGAGAGGACGACCAGCCACACUGGAACUGAGACACGGUCCAGACACCUACGGGUGGCAGCAGUCGAGUAAUUUUUUCUCAAUGGGGAAACCCUGAAGGAGCGACGCCGCGUGGAGGAUGAAGGUCUUCGGAUUGUAAACUCCUGUCAUUUUGGGAACAAUGUGCACUGAUUAACUGUCGGUGUGUUGAUAGUACCAGAAGAGGAAGAGACGGC